rnacentral:rRNA from 1 species
AAAAUUAGGGGAUGAGCUGUGGAUAGGGGUGAAAGGCUAAACAAACUUGGAAAUAGCUGGUUCUCUCCGAAAACUAUUUAGGUAGUGCCUCAAGUAUCACCAUCGGGGGUAGAGCACUGUUAUGGCUAGGGGGUCAUCGCGACUUACCAACCCAUUGCAAACUCCGAAUACCGAUGAGUGCGAGCUUGGGAGACAGACGCCGGGUGCUAACGUCCGACGUCAAGAGGGAAACAACCCAGACCGCCAGCUAAGGUCCCAAAGAUUGGCUAAGUGGAAAACGAAGUGGGAAGGCUAAAACAGUCAGGAGGUUGGCUUAGAAGCAGCCAUCCUUUAAAGAAAGCGUAAUAGCUCACUGAUCGAGUCGUCCUGCGCGGAAGAUGUAACGGGGCUAAGCCAGUCACCGAAGCUGCGGAUAUCCGUAAGGAUAUGGUAGGAGAGCGUUCUGUAAGCCUGUGAAGGUGUCUUGUAAAGGAUGCUGGAGGUAUCAGAAGUGCGAAUGCUGACAUGAGUAGCGAUAAUGCGGGUGAAAAGCCCGCACGCCGUAAGCCCAAGGUUUCCUGUUCAACGUUCAUCGGAGCAGGGUGAGUCGGCCCCUAAGGCGAGGCAGAGAUGCGUAGCUGAUGGGAAGCAGGUUAAUAUUCCUGCACCGUCGUUAGAUGCGAUGGGGGGACGGAUCGCGGAAGGUUGUCCGACUGUUGGAAUAGUCGGUUUUUGCAUCGAAGAAGGCUGUUAGGCAAAUCCGGCAGCGUAAUUCAAGGGUGUGAGACGAGCGAACUUGUUCGCGAAGCAAUCGGAAGUGGUUCCAAGAAAAGCCUCUAAGCUUCAGUCUAACGAGACCGUACCGCAAACCGACACAGGUGGGCGAGAUGAGUAUUCUAAGGCGCUUGAGAGAACUCGGGAGAAGGAACUCGGCAAAUUGGUACCGUAACUUCGGGAUAAGGUACGCCCAAGUAGUUUGACUGGCCUGCGCCAGGAGGACAAAAGGGUUGCAAUAAAAUGGUGGCUGCGACUGUUUAAUAAAAACACAGCACUCUGCAAACACGAAAGUGGACGUAUAGGGUGUGACGCCUGCCCGGUGCUGGAAGAUUAAAUGAUGGGGUGCAAGCUCUUGAUUGAAGUCCCAGUAAACGGCGGCCGUAACUAUAACGGUCCUAAGGUAGCGAAAUUCCUUGUCGGGUAAGUUCCGACCUGCACGAAUGGCGUAACGAUGGCCACACUGUCUCCUCC